ACCCGCACAAGCGGUGGAUUAUGUGGAUUAAUUCGAUGCAACGCGAAAACCUUACCUACCCUUGACAUGUCCUGAAGCCUGGAGAGAUCCGGGCGUGCCCGAAAGGGAACGGGAACACAGGUGCUGCAUGGCUGUCGUCAGCUCGUGUCGUGAGAUGUUCGGUUAAGUCCGCUAACGAGCGCAACCCUCGCUGUAUGUUACAUGUGUCAUACAGGACCGCCGGUAUCAAGCCGGAGGAAGGUGGGGAUGACGUCAAGUCCGCAUGGCCUUUAUGUCCGGGGCUACACACACGCUACAAUGGUCGGUACAAUGGGUUGCUAAGCCGCGAGGUGGAGCCAAUCCCCCAAAGCCGGCCUCAGUUCAGAUUGCAGGCUGCAACUCGCCUGCAUGAAGCUGGAGUUGCUAGUAAACGCGCGUCAGCUAUAGUGCGUUGAAUACGUUCUCGGGCCUU
rnacentral:rRNA from 1 species